rnacentral:rRNA from 1 species
AUACGUAGGUGGCAAGCGUUGUCCGGAUUUAUUGGGCGUAAAGCGAGCGCAGGCGGUUUCUUAAGUCUGAUGUGAAAGCCCCCGGCUCAACCGGGGAGGGUCAUUGGAAACUGGGAGACUUGAGUGCAGAAGAGGAGAGUGGAAUUCCAUGUGUAGCGGUGAAAUGCGUAGAUAUAUGGAGGAACACCAGUGGCGAAGGUGGCUCGCUGGUCUUUAACUGACGCUGAGGUUCGAAAGCGUGGGGAGCAAACAGGAUUAGAUACCCUGGUAGUCCCCGCCGUAAACGAUGAGUGCUAAGUGUUGGAGGGUUUCCGCCCUUCAGUGCUGCAGCUAACGCAUUAAGCACUCCGCCUGGGGAGUACGGCCGCAAGGCUGAAACUCAAAUGAAUGGACGGGG